rnacentral:rRNA from 1 species
AGCUCCAAUAGCGUAUAUUAAAGUUGCUGCAGUUAAAAAGCUCGUAGUUGCAUUUCCGAGGCAAGGGAUUAGUCCGACCUUUGGUGGGUAUUUAAUCCUCUUGCCUCGUCCUUGAGUGGUGCUUCUUGGUAUUAAGUUAUCGAGGCGAUAGCCGCUCAUCGUUUACUGUGAGAAAAUUAGAGUGUUCAAAGCAGGCUUAUGCCGUUGAAUAUAUUAGCAUGGAAUAAUAAGAUAGGACCUCGGUACUAUUUUGUUGGUUUGAGAACCAAGGUAAUGAUGAAUAGGGACAGUUGGGGGUAUUCGUAUUCAGUUGUCAGAGGUGAAAUUCUUAGAUUUACGGAAGACGAACUACUGCGAAAGCAUUUACCAAGGAUGUUUGCA